CGCUUCUCUUCCUUCCACAAUAAUUUAAUCAGCUUGCCUCUGUGUCCUAUAGGUAACAUGCAUAGUCGCAUUUGUCAUCCAUUCUUAUGAUUAAAUGGAUUAAGUUAUUUUGGGAGAAAAACGACAAAAAAGGUGUCCGAAUAUUGAUUCCGUCAUUUGACUGACUUUAAGUUAUAGAAAGGUUUUCCGGUUUUAAACAUGCACAAGUACAACCAAUCGUUUAUUGGAUAACAAAAAUGAAAAAUAAAUAAGCCAAUCAGAGCGUUCUCCAUAUCAUGGUUUUUAGAUCACAAGAACCACAACUAUUUUACCUCUUAGAGAGGACAAUUAUUUUUCGCGUUUAUCUACAUGUAUAAACUACAAUUGUACUACUUUCAUGGUAAACUACAAUUACACUACUAUGAUAUAUAACUAUGUAUAGAGACUCUCUGUAUUCUGUCUACUGUUUCCUUUGAAAUGAGUAUUUCAGGGGUCAUACCAUUUGAAUAUAUAUUGAAAUAAGUAAAACAUGUGGAAAAAAUAGGAAUGUGUCCAUAGCACACGGAUGACAAAUCGGCACUAACAUUUUCUAUGUUCAGUGGACCGUGAAAUGGGGUAAAGUCUCUAAUUUGGAAUUAAAAAUUAGAAAGAUUAUAAUAUAGGGAACAGAUUGGACAUUAACUUCAUCAAAAACUACCUCGAAAAAAAGUUUAACCUGAAGACGGACGAAGGAACGAACUAACAAACGAACAGACGCACAUACUAGAAAACAUAAUGCCCUUAAAUGGAGUAUAAACAUUUAUAAUUGUUGAAAGUGAAAGUAGUGAUUUGGCCAAAAUGAAAGUAGGGUAGAGAUUUGAAGGAGGCAGGACUUUUUCGGGACGUCGGGAUCGAGUGUUUUUAAGCUCGGGAUUUUGGGAUUGAUAUUUACGUGAUCCGGGAAUAAUUUUUUCAGACUUCGGGAUGUCGGGAUAUGAAUUUCUUUAAAUUCGGCACCUCGGGGUUUCAUGUUGUUAAGCGAAGGAUUUCGGGAUCAGGACCCCUCCGACCCGUGACCCCUCAAAUUAGCCUUCGUCAUUUUUACAAGAUUCAAAUCCUACCAUUGGCAUGUUAAUACACGUGGUACAUGUAGGGCUAUUAAAGAAAAAAAGCACUCAUGAAUUGUCCUAGAUUCAUAUUCAAUUUUAUUAGAUAUAUAAGCAGUUGCACUGAUUUAUUUCAUGUUUGAAGCGGUGCAAAUUUUUAAUUUGAUAGUUUGAGUUGACUUACCAAAAAAUGCAUUGUAGCAAAUAGGAAGAAUAAUUGUGGUCUGAGGCCAGAAACAUGAAAAUAAUUGAAUUUAACAGAAAGGAAAAAGAUAACGUACUUUGGAAAAAAGUGAGAGGGCCCUUGAUACUUUUUAUGAAAUUCUCAAGACAUAAUAUUUUUUACAAAAAUUAUCCUACAACAGUUUACAACUGUUAUGCCCGCGAUUUCGCGGGUGUGAUCUAGU
rnacentral:lncRNA from 1 species